rnacentral:lncRNA from 1 species
AUGCAUGCUGUGAUACAACAGUUCUCAAGCUCUGAAUCGGGUCUACAGAAUCAGAGAAAGAAAGGGAUAGAGAGGAAGAGGAAGAAGAGGAAGAAAAAGAAGAAGAAGAAGAAGGAGGAGGAGGAGGAGAAUAAGGAGGAGGAGGAAGAAGAGGAAAAGGAGGAGGAGAAGAAGAAGGAGGAGAAGAAGAAGGAGAAGGAGAAGAAGAAGAAGAAGGAGGAGGAGGAUGAGGAGAAGGAGGAGGAGGAGGAAGAAGAGGAAGAGGAGAAGAAGAAGAAGAAGAAGAAGGAGGAGGAUGAGGAGAAGGAGGAGGAGAGGGAAGGGAAGGAGGGAAGAGGUAGGGGAGGGGAAGGGGGAGAGGGAGGGAUAGAAAGAUUUGGCUGUUGUGUAAGUCUGACAAGCAAUUUUUCAAUAGCUUUUUAUUUCCAACAUUUAAAAAGGAGAAACAAGCUUUUAAAUAAUAUAUAUGACAUAUUUAAAAGGUGAAAAGAAGUUACUCAAAGGAAGCUGGGAUGACAGGUGGGGUGCCCAGUGCUUUGCCUAGUUUAUAAUUUGAGAUUUUUUUUUAUUGCAGGAGAAGAAGGCAGCCUCAGACUUUCAGCUUGAUUAUGUAGGAGACAAUGCACUGAUAUCCCUAGAAGAACUUCAGCUUUUUUUUUUCUUUAAACAGAUUGUUUCAUUUAUUUUUUUCUACUGUAUUACAGUAUUAUUAUUAUCAUUAUUAUUUUUACAGUCUUAUUUUGAAAAAUAGUCCAUAUUAAAAAUAAAAUCCUCAAGCAUGGUUUUCUAACAGCUGUCAUUUGCUUUUAUGCUGCUAUAGUAACUUCAUAUUAAGAAAAACCUUUCUAUCAUGAUCUUUUUCCUCAGCCCAGUGUGACUCCCCAUUUUUCUCCUGGAUUGGGUUUCUAAGUGUUCUUUUCCAUUGAAUGCACACUAUCUGUUCUGUUUGGACCUUAAAUGUCUCCCCCAAAUCUCAUGUAUUGAAGACUUGGUCCCCAGCUGAUGGUGCUAUUGGGGGAUGGGCCUAGAGGGAGGGAGACGGUCAUUUGGGGGAUGCCCUCGAGAGUGUGUGGGGCCCCAGCCUCCGAUGCCCUUUCUUUCUCUGCUUCCUGGCCACCAUGAGGUGGGCAGCUUUCUUUUGCCAUGUGUUUGCCAUGAUGUACUGCCUUACUACAGGGCCAAAAACAAAAGGGCCAAGCAACUACGGACUGAAACCUCUGAAGCCAUAAGCUAAAAUAAACAUUUCUUCCUUCUAAACUGUUUAUCUCAGGUAUUUUGUCCCAGUCGUAGAAAGCUGGCUAACACAUUAUCUUUAUUAUUCUACCCAUUGUCUAGAUAAGUGCUAAGCAUAGGAACAUUCAUAGAUGAAUAAAAUACUGUUCUUAAUUUUAAGGAUUUUGGUUUGGGGUACUUUUCUAUCUGUCUGAAUCUUCUCCCCAGCAACUGAAUGUGUGUUGUCUGUCGUGUUGGCAUGUAUGCUCAGCUCUCCUCUCUGUAUUUUCCUUUGUCAAGCUCCCCCAUCCUUCUUUCUUUCUCAUUCAACUUCAUCCUACUACACUGUUUUACGUUUAGCUAGUGUAUUGGAAAAGUCCCGGGGUAGGCAUGGAGAUGUAGCAAUUCAGCCUCUGAUGAGAUUGGCACUUUACCCAGAAUCUUCUCAGUUGCUUCAUUUAUUAGAAUAGGAGUUGGGCCCAAUCAGGAACGCUGAGGUUUAUUUGCACAUUGGAAUUACCUGGGGAACCUUUUAAAAAAUGUUGAUGGAAGGUCCCUCUCCUAGAGAGUCUAAUAUAAUCUGAGUUUAGGGUGUGGGAGCUUUGAAAUCUUCUAAUGAGUGGGGAAAGUUGAGAACCAUUGGGCAGAACCUUGGGCUGAAUGAUCUAAUUACUCACUUUCCAUGACAAACACGUGUGUCACAGUAGGAUCAAAUGGAUUUUGGAGUUUGAUGGACCAGGUUCAAAUUCUAGCCAGCAAUAACCCUGUGGGGAAAAUUAGUCCACUUUUCCGAAUCUUAAUUUUAGUAUGCAAUUAAUAGAGGUCGGUAAUACUUUGCCAAAUACAAAGGUUUAAUGAAUCAUACCAUGUGAUAGACGUUCAAGCAAAGGCAAUUAUUAUUGUUACUAUUAUUAUUUGCCCUAAAAGUGUCCUGGUCGCUGGCUUCUUUAUUUCUACCGUCACUGUCAGUUCCUAGGCUUAACGCAUGAUUGCUGAGUGAGGACCAGACGGUGACUGUGACCGUCCUCCCACGAAGCAGAGGUGAAGGCGUGAUGUCACCCACUCUGGUCAAUAUUCUCAGUUCUUGUCACUUAGCCUGUAGGUCCUGGACCAUUGGCAUAGUACCCCCUGGAACCUGUGACAAAGGAGAAUCUCAGCCCCAUCAAGACCUUCUGCAUCACUUAACUAGAUCCCCAGGGGAUUUGCGCUCACACUGCACUUGGGAAGCACUGCUCCAAGACCUCUCAAUCCCUGGGAUGUGUGUGGAGGGAAUGAAUUCAAGCUCCUGGAGUGGUGACAGUUUACAAAUUCCAGCCUCUUUGUUGGAGAUGCCAUGGUGAGCCCAGGGGAGUCACGGUUGUAUUCCAGCUGGCAGUAGGAGCCCCUGGCACACCCUGCGUGCACCACGCCUGUGGAAGGCAGGGCUUUAGGCAAAACUCAUCAUCCCGCCAUCCUGCCACCUUUCUUCACCAGGCCCCACCCUCAGCCUGGUGCUGGUUCUUUCACAGGACUUAGUGGAUGCCUCAAGGCCAUCAAUCACCGUGAAAAAUUAUCUCGGGUCACAGGAGGCUGCUGUUUGCACGCACAGGGCAGGGCUCCCUCCAACUCCAUGGAGCCUGGCCUCAGCUCCUGUGGCCCAGCCAGGACUUCUGAAUGCUGCCCACCCCCAACACUGACACCUCCUGCUCUGCAGGACCAGCACUCCAAGGUCUUGGCGACCUUCCCUAAGCAUUUUCUGGGUGGCCCCCAAGAGUCCCUUCGUUCUGCGUUUUGAAUUUCUUGACUAUUUAAACCCAGGGACCUGGCCACAAUUCUUUCCUACACCGCCCCAGGAUACAACUCCUUUGCCUAAAGACCACCCCCCCCCAACUGUGGGGUGCUGUAUUUUCUAGAGCAACAGAGAGUUGAAUACACACAUUCAAAGGACACCUGCCUUCCCAUUUGAUACUCCUCCUGUCCUGGGGCAGAUGGGGAGCCUGUCUCCCAUUAUGACUCACUGUGUGAACAAGGGUGAAUCUUCUGGCCAGAGCUGCAGCCACUGGUCCACAUGAUGCAGAGUAUUUCUUAGAGUAUUUUCUCUCAAGUGUUUAUGGUUACUUUCAAUAAGUAAUUUUGUGAGUCUUUGCUUUAUUGAGCUUGCCCACUAGCCUGUAAGCUUCCUGGGGGUGGAGACAGGGCUGCUCUGUGCACCGGUUAGCCCCAGCUUCAGGUUCAGUGCCUGGCUCCCAGAGAUCUCCUGCAGCAAUUGUCUGAGUCGAUGGACAGAUACUGUACCUGGCUGAAUGAUUUGGUGAUUCUGGGACUUAAAGGGCCAGGAUGCUACAGGGUGUGUAUAUCUUUGGGGUGGUGAGAGGGUGGGAGUGGAUUUCCCUCAAGUAUAGCCCUCAGCACAGGGCUACAGCAUUGUUAUGUUGUGGGCCUUGUGGUCCAGAAAGCUAUGUCUUUGCCACCUGGGACAAAUACGGACAGCCCUAGUCCACUAGCUCCUGCCUCAGGCCAGUCAGUCUUAGGCACCAACCAGCUGGCGCCCCUGCCUGGCAGGUCUCCUCUACGUUCAGAGCUUUGACUUCUAGGACUCACUGCAAAGGGGCAGGGUCAAGCCUCCAGCCUCAGGUGCGCAGCUUUGCAACACCUGAGGCUGGGGAUGCUUGGGUCAUUCACAGGGUGUAAACAGAAAGUAAACCCACCUCUCCAGGGCUUCUUUGGUGGGGGACAGCAGGUCCUCCACAUAUACCCUGUGCAGCAUGGUGAUUGGAUGGGAGCUCAGGGUGACUUGUCCAGUUCACUUUUUCCUGUCCUGUGGGCUUCAGUGUCUUCUCUCAGCUGCAGGCCAUGCUUUGAGGGGUCACUUCCACCACUUGUCCAUUCCCAGUUUCCCAUCCCACCGGACAUCUAGGUCAGUCCCCAGGGCUCUAGCACAUGGUAUGAGGGUUAAGAUAGGUUUCGCAUCCUGGUGCAGCAGCAAAACACAGGGACAUCAGUGUCAAAGCCAAGGCUGCAUAUGAUCAGUGGUGAUGCUGUGGGCAGAGUAGGGCUUCCAAGCACAGGAAAGGUUUCUAACAUCAUCAGUCUAAUAGGAAGCCUGUCACACAGCCUUCCAGGGGGUCAGGGUGCCUAUCACGCUUAAUAAGAGUUGCUAAGUUUCAAGCCUUUUUGAAAUGAUACCACACCCUAUGCAAUUAAAUGCUAGAUGGCAGGCAGGCACAAUUUAGGAUUAAAGGGUUUGGGUAGUAUCUGUAUUGUCUGCAGUAGGCAGAAGAAGAUUUACUCAAGACUUAGGCCUUAAAAGGACCUUCCCAUUUAUGUAGCAUUGAGAGAAGAUGGGUAAGAGGGUUGGCUUUCCAGGCAGAGACCUGGAUAUAGGCUGAGAGGAGCACCAGGUUUCGGGGCCACAGACAGCCUGUGAUGAGACUGUCUGGUGUUCACUGUGAUGGUGGUCGGCCCGGGGAACCUGCUUGUACCCACAAGGAAGCGAUGGUCUCUGACACCUGGAGAAGCCAUCAGUACUGCAACUGCACUAUGAUACUUGCUUCCUCUGGUGAAUGAUAUCGUAUCAUAACCAGUCCCUUUGCCCCUGCCACCCUACCAAGGAAGCCAGCAUGAGAUAAAGUGCAUGUAAGAAAAAUACUACAUUAUAAAAAAGGAAACUAUGAACUUCAGUGAACAUUUAACACAGCAAACACAUGCUCUAGGUUCCAAAAUGUGGGCAGUAAGAAUGCGAAUAUGUAUGUGUUCAAAGAAUAACUCUUUUUUUUUUUUUGGUUUUUGGUUUUUCUUCGGUACCAGGAACCGAACUCACGACCUUGCGCUUGCCAGGCAAGCGCUUUUGCCGCUGAGCUAAAUCCCCAGCCCCUCAAAGAAUAACUCUAAUAAACUGUAAUCAAG